rnacentral:lncRNA from 1 species
CAAAACUUUGUUAACGAGUUCAAAAUCCGAAAAGCUUUUACCAAGUGAUUUUAAACCAUUGACGACAUCCGUAAAACGGGUGUACAUGUCAACAACGGUUUCGCUUGGUUUCAUAUGAAAAAGCUCGAAAUCAUGUAGUAAAAUAUUAACUUUCGAGUCUUUGACUCUACUAGUUCCCUCAUGCGUGAUUUCAAGAGUGCGCCAAAUAUCGAAAGCCGUUUCGCACAAAGAAACCCGAUUGAACUCAUUUUUGUCCAAAGCGCAAAAUAAGGCAUUCAUAUCCUUUACGUUUAAAGAAAAAUACUUCUUCUCUAAAUCCGACCAUUCGUUCAUCGGUUUAGAGGGAAGUUGAAAACCGUUUUCAACGAUAUUCC